CCUACGGGGCGCAGCAGUGGGGAAUAUUGCACAAUGGGGGAAACCCUGAUGCAGCGACGUCGCGUGAGUGAAGAAGUAUUUCGGUAUGUAAAGCUCUAUCAGCAGGGAAGAAAAUGACGGUACCUGACUAAGAAGCCCCGGCUAACUACGUGCCAGCAGCCGCGGUAAUACGUAGGGGGCAAGCGUUAUCCGGAUUUACUGGGUGUAAAGGGAGCGUAGACGGUAGAGCAAGUCUGAAGUGAAAGCCCGCGGCCCAACCCCGGGACUGCUCUGGACACUAUUGAACUUGAGUGCAGGAGAGGUAA
rnacentral:rRNA from 1 species